AAGGAUACAACGAUUUUCUGGAAGUAGCCACACCAGAAGAUAAUCCUCGCAUCCAAUCCCAUUGUUCUCGUUAUCCAUAUCAAUCAGAAGUCAGAACAGAGGAUGCCUUAGGAAUCAAAAACGAAAAUGGCUCAUCUUCUUAACGUUUCUUUGUGCACCAAAAUUCCACCAAAACCCCCUCUCUCACUAACCAAACCUUCCCUCUCAAUCCCACGCUUCCUUUCCCUCUCCCGCUCUCGCUGUCCCAACCCGCAGCAGGCAUUGAUACUAAACAAGCAACUGCUAGAAGAUUUUGCAAAGACAGGCUUGCUUGCUCUUCUCUCUGUCUCUCUCUCUUUUACUGAUCCUGCUCUUGCAUUCAAGGGAGGAGGACCGUAUGGUUCUGAAGUUACGAGGGGCCAGGAUCUUACUGGCAAGGAUUUCAGUGGCAGAACUUUGAUCAAGCAAGAUUUUAAGACGUCCAUCCUAAGACAAGCCAAUUUCAAAGGUGCAAAGUUGCUGGGAGCUAGCUUUUUCGAUUCUGAUUUAACAGGGGCUGAUCUUUCAGAUGCUGACCUUAGAAGUGCGGAUCUCUCUUUGGCGAAUGUGGCAAAGCAACUUCCUUGGGGUACCUUCCUAUGUAAAUGUGUUUUCAGAUGCACAUUCAAUUUACUAACAGCAACAGCCUGCCUGCAGACAUGGUAAAUUUGAGCAAUGCUAACUUGGAAGGUGCACUUGCUACCGGCAACACAUCUUUUAGAGGAUCAAAUAUAACAGGAGCUGAUUUCACAGAUGUGCCUUUGAGAGAGGACCAACGUGAGUACUUGUGCAAAGUUGCCGAUGGGGUGAAUCCAACUACUGGAAAUGCAACACGCGAUACAUUGCUUUGCAACUAGUUUACUUUCACAUUGAAGUGCUGAAAAACAGGGAAGCGGCACCAGUGCAUCUGUAACAGCUGCAACUUUCAUUUUAGCUCAGGUUUGCAAUCAACUUGUUGUAAGUAAUGUAAAAUAUCAAAUCAAUAGUGCUGCUUUUAUUCUCAUCUAUAUAAGAAGUAUACAUGCAACUGUAUAAUGAAUCAAACAUCUAUCAUAAACUGGAUUCUUUUGCCACC